rnacentral:ncRNA from 1 species
GGUAGUAGCAAAUACUCCAGCGAGGCCCUGGAGGACUGACGUGGAGAAGGGUUUCGUGUGAACAGCCGUUGCACACGAGUCAGUCGAUCCUAAGCCCUAGGAGAAAUCCUAUGUCAAUGACGGCGUACGAUACUCUAGUGUUGUCGUUGUCGCGCUCUCGAUCUCCGACUCGCCGCCGCUCGCGCGCGCGACGACGGGGAGGGGAGAGCGCGGUGUCUUCUUCUUCAACGAGAAGCGCUCUGACAGGACACACGCCCGUCGGGCGAAAGGGAAUCCGGUUCCUAUUCCGGAACCCGGCAGCGGAACCGCAUACAAUUCGGGCCCUCGUAAGAGUGUUCGUCGGGGUAACCCAAAAUGACCUGGAGACGCCGUCGGGAGAUCCGGGAAGAGUUUUCUUUUCUGUAUAAGCGUUCGAGUUCCCUGGAAACCUCUAGCAGGGAGAUAGGGUUUGGAACGCGAAGAGCACCGCAGUUGCGGCGGUGUCCGGAUCUUCCCCUCGGACCUUGAAAAUCCAGGAGAGGGCCACGUGGAGGUGUCGCGCCGGCUCGUACCCAUAUCCGCAGCAGGUCUCCAAGGUAAAGAGCCUCUAGUC